rnacentral:rRNA from 1 species
CCUACGGGAGGCAGCAGUGAGGAAUAUUGGUCAAUGGACGCAAGUCUGAACCAGCCAUGCCGCGUGCAGGAAGACGGCUCUAUGAGUUGUAAACUGCUUUUGUACGAGGGUAAACGCAGAUACGCGUAUCUGUCUGAAAGUAUCGUACGAAUAAGGAUCGGCUAACUCCGUGCCAGCAGCCGCGGUAAUACGGAGGAUUCAAGCGUUAUCCGGAUUUAUUGGGUUUAAAGGGUGCGUAGGCGGUCGGAUAAGUUAGAGGUGAAAUCCCGAGGCCCAACGUCGGAAUUGCCUCUGAUACUGUUCGGCGAGAGAGUAGUUGCGGUAGGCGGAAUGUAUGGUGUAGCGGUGAAAUGCUUAGAGAGCAUACAGAACACCGAUUGCGAAGGCAGCUUAGCAAGCUACUUCUGACGUUGAGGCACGAAAGCGUGGGGAGCAAACAGGAUUAGAUACCCCAGUAGGC